UACGGAGGGUGCGAGCGUUAAUCGGAAUUACUGGGCGUAAAGGGUGCGUAGGUGGUUUGAUAAGUUAUCUGUAAAAGCCCUGGGCUCAACCUGGGAAGGCCAGAUAAAACUGUUGAACUGGAGUAUGGGAGAGGGUAGUGGAAUUUCCGGUGUAGCGGUGAAAUGCGUAGAGAUCGGAAGGAACACCAGUGGCGAAGGCGGCGACCUGGCCCUGACCUGACGCUGAGGCGCGAGAGCGUGGGGAGCGAACGGG
rnacentral:rRNA from 1 species